rnacentral:rRNA from 1 species
UCCGUAGGUGAACCUGCGGAAGGAUCAUUAAUGAAUUCACUAUGGAGUUGUUGCUGGCCUCUAGGGGCAUGUGCACGCUUCACUAGUCUUUCAACCACCUGUGAACUUUUGAUAGAUCUGUGAAGUCGUCUCUCAAGUCGUUAGACUUGGUUUGCUGGGAUGUAAACGUCUCGGUGUGACUACGCAGUCUAUUUACUUAUAACACCCCAAAUGUAUGUCUACGAAUGUCAUUUAAAGGGCCUUGUGCCUAUAAACCAUAAUACAACUUUCAACAACGGAUCUCUUGGCUCUCGCAUCGAUGAAGAACGCAGCGAAAUGCGAUAAGUAAUGUGAAUUGCAGAAUUCAGUGAAUCAUCGAAUCUUUGAACGCACCUUGCGCCCCUUGGUAUUCCGAGGGGCAUGCCUGUUUGAGUGUCAUUAAAUUCUCAAACUCACUCUGGUUUUUCCAAUUGUGAUGUUUGGAUUGUUGGGGGCUGCUGGCCUUGACAGGUCGGCUCCUCUUAAAUGCAUUAGCAGGACUUCUCAUUGCCUCUGCGCAUGAUGUGAUAAUUAUCACUCAUCAAUAGCACGCAUGAAUAGAGUCUGGCUCUCUAACCGUCCGCAAGGACAAUUUGACAAUUUGACCUCAAAUCAGGUAGGACUACCCGCUGAACUUAAGCAUAUCAAUAAGCGGAGGA